GAAAGUGUCUGAGGGUGUCAUGACCCCGAAGGAGGUGGCCGAGAGCUCUGCGGUGAAGCCGAGCCCAGAAGUGGGGGUGCUUGGGCAGCUGGUGGAGGGAGGAGACUGCUGCAGUGUUAGGGUCAUGGUAGAGAGGGAGACAUGUCCCUGGUUAUACAGAGCCAGGAUUCUGGGAAAAGUUCUAGCAAGGGGAACCAGAGCCUAGGAUGAGAGGAGCUCGGGAACUAGGGGCAGAGCCAGGGUAGGGAGGGGUCUGAGAGUGGAACCAGGAUGCAAAGGGGAGGAGCCUGGGAGCCCUGGGGGUGGGGUCAGAACCCAGGAGACGAAGGUGCCUGGGGUUUGUCUCGCAUCCGGGGGAGUUUGACAGGAAUUGUCCGGGACCCAACGGAGGUGAGGGCUCAAAGGGUGGUGAGGGCACAUAGUAGGGGAGUGGAAGCUUGGCUCUCAGGCCUAGGCUCCUAUCCUGUCCCAGGCCAGGUCCAGGCCCUGGACCCCACCUAGCGUAGGCUAGUGUGUAUCCCUGGAACCAGAAGAGGCCUCCCAGGACCCCCGUAGACUCUGUGAUGCCCACGCCCCGGAACAUGGGUGGGCGCUAUGAGGCAAGCCAGGUCUGGGCACCCUGCGGAAGCAGCUUAGCGACAGCGAGAGUGAGCGGCGGGCCCUAGAGGAACAACUGCAGCGCCUGCGGGAAAAGACCAACUGCGCCCUGCAGGCCCAUGAGGACGCCCAGCGCGAGGUGCAGCGGCUGCGGAGUGCCAACGAGCUCCUGAGCAGGGAGAAGAGCAACCUGGCCCACAGCCUGCAGGUGGCCCAGCAGCAGGCCGAGGAGCUGCGGCGGGAGAAGCUGCAGGCUGCCCAGGAGGAGCUGAGACGCCAGUGGGACCGGCUGGAGGAAGAGCAGGAGGACGGGUGCGCCGGGAGCUUGAGCGCAGGGGCUCCAGAGCAGCAGGCACACUGCUGGUGGGGGAGGCACGUCUGUGCAGAGGUCCACUGUGGUCUUCAGCCCAGAGCACGGACAUCCCAACCAGGGCUGCAAACUAGAGUUUGGGGCCCAGAUGGUGGGCUGGCCUGAUGGAACAGACAAGAACUGAGGAGACUCUCACCGCUACUGGAGGACCAGACUGAUGGGAGACAGAAGCUGUGCACGGACUGAUGGGAGACAGAAGCUGUGCAUGGACUGAUGGGAGACAGAAGCUGCGCAUGGACUGAUGGGAGACAGAAGC
rnacentral:lncRNA from 1 species